rnacentral:rRNA from 1 species
UUUGUAGAAUGAACCGGCGAGUUACGAUUUGUUGCAAGGUUAAGCGGAAAAAGCGGAGCCGUAGCGAAAGCGAGUCUGAAUAGGGCGCAUAAGUAACAGGUCGUAGACCCGAAACCAGGUGAUCUACCCAUGUCCAGGAUGAAGGUAAGGUAAUACUUACUGGAGGUCCGAACCCACGCACGUUGAAAAGUGCGGGGAUGAGGUGUGGGUAGCGGAGAAAUUCCAAUCGAACUUGGAGAUAGCUGGUUCUCUCCGAAAUAGCUUUAGGGCUAGCCUCGAGGUAAAGAGUCAUGGAGGUAGAGCACUGUUUGGACUAGGGGCCCUUCUCGGGUUACCGAAUUCAGAUAAACUCCGAAUGCCAUGUACUUAUACUCGGGAGUCAGACUGCGAGUGAUAAGAUCCGUAGUCGAAAGGGAAACAGCCCAGACCACCAGUUAAGGUCCCCAAAUAUAUGUUAAGUGGAAAAGGAUGUGGGGUUGCUUAGACAACCAGGAUGUUGGCUUAGAAGCAGCCACCAUUGAAAGAGUGCGUAAUAGCUCACUGGUCGAGUGACCCCGCGCCGAAAAUGUACCGGGGCUAAACAUAUUACCGAAACUGUG